rnacentral:rRNA from 1 species
UACGUAGGUGACAAGCGUUGUCCGGAUUUACUGGGCGUAAAGAGCGCGCAGGCGGUCGAUCAAGUCGAGUGUGAAAGCCCCCGGCUCAACUGGGGAGGGUCAUUCGAUACUUAUCGACUCGAAGGCAGGAGAGGGUAGUGGAAUUCCCGGUGUAGUGGUGAAAUGCGUAGAUAUCGGGAGGAACACCAGUGGCGAAGGCGACUACCUGGCCUGUUCUUGACGCUGAGGCGCGAAAGCUAGGGGAGCAAACGGG